rnacentral:rRNA from 1 species
UACGGAGGGUGCAAGCGUUAUCCGGAUUCACUGGGUUUAAAGGGUGCGUAGGUGGCUUUGUAAGUCAGUGGUGAAAUGUUACGGCUCAACCGUAAAACUGCCAUUGAUACUGCUUAGCUUGAAUCAGGUCGAGGUGGAUGGAAUAUUACAUGUAGCGGUGAAAUGCUUAGAUAUGUAAUAGAACACCGAUUGCGAAGGCAGUUCACUAGGCCUGUAUUGACACUGAGGCACGAAAGCGUGGGGAUCAAACAGG